rnacentral:rRNA from 1 species
UACGGGGGGAGCAAGCGUUGUUCGGAUUUACUGGGCGUAAAGGGCGCGUAGGCGGUCAGCACAAGUCAGUUGUGAAAUCUCCGGGCUUAACUCGGAAAGGUCAACUGAUACUGUGCGACUAGAGUGCGGAAGGGGCAACUGGAAUUCUCGGUGUAGCGGUGAAAUGCGUAGAUAUCGAGAGGAACACCUGCGGCGAAGGCGGGUUGCUGGCCGACACUGACGCUGAGGAGCGAAGCAUGGGGAGCGAACAGG